UGGAUGCUGAUAUUUUUGAUGAACUGCUGAGAUCUUCUACAAUGUCUUUCAAAGUGGUCACAGAGCACACUGAUGAGGACCAGGUAACCGAGGCCUCCUUCUGCUCAGAGGAGGGGUCAUACUCAUCAGUUGAGUCUCUCAGCUCUGCAAGUUCCUCUUCCACAGUGAUAACAGAGAGCACCACAGCACGGAAAAGGCGACUAGUUGAGGGACCACCUGACAGUAAGGUUGCAAAAAAUAUUGUCUAUGUAGCUCUGCAUCAAAAACCAGGGGGUGAAGAUGUAUUCAAAGAGUACAACAACACAAAUGGUCUUUCUGAUCAUACAA